UUGAACGCUGGCGGCAGGCCUAACACAUGCAAGUCGAGCGGUAGCACAGAGAGCUUGCUCUCGGGUGACGAGCGGCGGACGGGUGAGUAAUGUCUGGGAAACUGCCUGAUGGAGGGGGAUAACUACUGGAAACGGUAGCUAAUACCGCAUAACGUCGCAAGACCAAAGUGGGGGACCUUCGGGCCUCAUGCCAUCAGAUGUGCCCAGAUGGGAUUAGCUAGUAGGUGGGGUAACGGCUCACCUAGGCGACGAUCCCUAGCUGGUCUGAGAGGAUGACCAGCCACACUGGAACUGAGACACGGUCCAGACUCCUACGGGAGGCAGCAGUGGGGAAUAUUGCACAAUGGGCGCAAGCCUGAUGCAGCCAUGCCGCGUGUGUGAAGAAGGCCUUCGGGUUGUAAAGCACUUUCAGCGGGGAGGAAGGCGAUAAGGUUAAUAACCUUGUCGAUUGACGUUACCCGCAGAAGAAGCACCGGCUAACUCCGUGCCAGCAGCCGCGGUAAUACGGAGGGUGCAAGCGUUAAUCGGAAUUACUGGGCGUAAAGCGCACGCAGGCGGUCUGUCAAGUCGGAUGUGAAAUCCCCGGGCUCAACCUGGGAACUGCAUUCGAAACUGGCAGGCUAGAGUCUUGUAGAGGGGGGUAGAAUUCCAGGUGUAGCGGUGAAAUGCGUAGAGAUCUGGAGGAAUACCGGUGGCGAAGGCGGCCCCCUGGACAAAGACUGACGCUCAGGUGCGAAAGCGUGGGGAGCAAACAGGAUUAGAUACCCUGGUAGUCCACGCCGUAAACGAUGUCGAUUUGGAGGUUGUGCCCUUGAGGCGUGGCUUCCGGAGCUAACGCGUUAAAUCGACCGCCUGGGGAGUACGGCCGCAAGGUUAAAACUCAAAUGAAUUGACGGGGGCCCGCACAAGCGGUGGAGCAUGUGGUUUAAUUCGAUGCAACGCGAAGAACCUUACCUGGUCUUGACAUCCACAGAACUUUCCAGAGAUGGAUUGGUGCCUUCGGGAACUGUGAGACAGGUGCUGCAUGGCUGUCGUCAGCUCGUGUUGUGAAAUGUUGGGUUAAGUCCCGCAACGAGCGCAACCCUUAUCCUUUGUUGCCAGCGGUUAGGCCGGGAACUCAAAGGAGACUGCCAGUGAUAAACUGGAGGAAGGUGGGGAUGACGUCAAGUCAUCAUGGCCCUUACGACCAGGGCUACACACGUGCUACAAUGGCAUAUACAAAGAGAAGCGACCUCGCGAGAGCAAGCGGACCUCAUAAAGUAUGUCGUAGUCCGGAUUGGAGUCUGCAACUCGACUCCAUGAAGUCGGAAUCGCUAGUAAUCGUAGAUCAGAAUGCUACGGUGAAUACGUUCCCGGGCCUUGUACACACCGCCCGUCACACCAUGGGAGUGGGUUGCAAAAGAAGUAGGUAGCUUAACCUUCGGGAGGGCGCUUACCGCUUUGUGAUUCAUGACUGGGGUG
rnacentral:rRNA from 1 species